AACUAUUUGCACAUAUACGGUUUCUCUCUCCUCAUCUCUCCCUUUCUCCCUCUCUCGCUCAUUCAGCCAUUCUCUAUCUUCUUCUCUUUUGCCUCCAUCUCUCCUCGCUCUCUCUCUAUAUCUCUCUCCUCACUCUUCUCUGAUCCGAUGAUUGUCUCGGCCAGAGUCUCCUCGGAGCCUCCUCAUCUUGUCUUUUCUCGUUAUUGUUCUCGGACCCCGAGGCGGUGACGUUGAAAGAGAGCGCGACGAAGGCGAGUGUAUGGUCGGUGUGGCGCCGACAAAGAAAGAUGGCAGGUGGCAGAUUGCGACGGUGAAGUCCGCACCGUAUGCGGCUCAUACCCUUGCAUUUAUACCUCUCUAUAUUCAUAUCUCUUAGUUGCAGAACUGUUGAUAGGUGGUAAUUAUAAAUUGAGAUAGAGAGAGAUGACAGAGAUAUAAAGAAGGGGAGGGCCUGGUCUGAAAUGAAAU
rnacentral:lncRNA from 1 species